AAGGAACUGAAGACCCUAUCAAAUGCACUCAUGAUGUAGUGAACGAAGGAGCGGCAGCAAUUGGAGAAGGAGCAACAGCAAGUGAUGAAGGCGCGACUGCGAGAGAGGAAGAAGUGGUUGUGACUGAGGAAGGAGCGAUUAGAAGAGAAGAAGCAGUUACC